rnacentral:rRNA from 1 species
AUGCAAGUCGAGGGGUAACAUUGUAGCUUGCUACAGAUGACGACCGGCGCACGGGUGCGUAACGCGUAUAGAAUCUGCCUCAUACUGAGGGAUAGCCUUUGGAAACGAAGAUUAAUACCUCAUGGUAUCAUUAGAUGGCAUCAUUUAGUGAUUAAAGGUUACGGUAUGAGAUGACUAUGCGUCCUAUUAGCUUGUUGGUAAGGUAACGGCUUACCAAGGCGACGAUAGGUAGGGGCCCUGAGAGGGGGAUCCCCCACACUGGUACUGAGACACGGACCAGACUCCUACGAGAGGCAGCAGUGAGGAAUAUUGGACAAUGGAGGCAACUCUGAUCCAGCCAUGCCGCGUGAAGGAUGACUGCCCUAUGUGUUGUAAACUUCUUUUAUAUAGGAAGAAACAGUUUCUCGUGAGAAACCUUGACGGUACCAUAUGAAUAAGCACCGGCUAACUCCGUGCCAGCAGCCGCGGUAAUACGGAGGGUGCAAGCGUUAUCCGGAAUCAUUGGGUUUAAAGGGUCCGUAGGCGGAUAGAUAAGUCAGAGGUGAAAUCCUGCAGCCCAACUGUAGAAUUGCCUUUGAUACUGUUUAUCUUGAGUUAUUGCGAAGUGGUUAGAAUAUGUAGUGUAGCGGUGAAAUGCUUAGAGAUUACAUGGAAUACCGAUUGCGAAGGCAGAUCACUAACAAUAUACUGACGCUGAUGGACGAAAGCGUGGGGAGCGAACGGGAUUAGAUACCCCGGUAGUCCACGCCGUAAACGAUGGAUACUAGCUGUUCGGAAUUUAUUCUGAGUGGCUAAGCGAAAGUGAUAAGUAUCCCACCUGGGGAGUACGUUCGCAAGAAUGAAACUCAAAGGAAUUGACGGGGGCCCGCAC